UCAGUAGCUGAUCUGCUCUACCACCUGAGCCACAGCCACCGAGGGCGAUGAUGAAGACGAUGAUGAUCCACCUUACCCACUAAGCAUCCAAAUGCAAACAGUGGGAUUUCUGAAGACCUACAUUGAAACAGCCACUCCAUUCCAGCUCAGCCAGCUGAUGAGGUUUUGGGUUGGAUGGGAAAUUCCGACUGGUACCAUGAAGGUUGAAGUGGUCAAAGCAGACUACCUCAUAUCCUCUACAUGUUUUGGAACGUUGCGUGUGCCUGGGCACUUCCACGAGUACAAUGUCUUUUCCAAACAUGUUGAUGAUUGCAUUGCAACUUGUGCCACAGGUUUCGGCCUUAUUUAAAAGCAAUUUGUAGACACUGGAUGUCGAAUAAACUUUACCAUGCUUGAAAAAUGUUUUACAUAGCCAAAAGUUUCACUGUUACUUAGGCUUAUUGAUUUUUUGGGAAUAUUGUCAUGCGAGUUUAAAUAUAAAAAUUAAAGUUACAGUUCCCACCAUUAAUUUUUAUAUUUGAAGUUAAGGAACUAAUGACUGUGUUAUUUAGGGUUGUUUUGUUAACUUAAAGUCAUUGUCAUGCAUCCGAUUCACAUCAUCUCUUUGUUUGAAGCAGUUUCAUGGAUUACAAGAAGUGAAAAAAAGUAGAUUAAUACUAAAGCUGUAUUAAAUGUUACACACAGUCCAAUGCUGUUGAAUAUAAUGUUAAUAAAAAUCUGCCACACUG